GGGAACUGAAACAUCUAAGUACCCAGAGGAAAGGAAAUCAACCGAGACUCCGUGAGUAGCGGCGAGCGAAAGCGGAUUGCGACUUAAGUCAGUGAACGCGUUGGAAAGCGCGGCCAAAGAAGGUGAUAGCCCUGUAGUUGGAUGAUGUCGCUCAGCCCUAGAGUAGCGUCGGUGUCGUGAAACCCGGCGUGAACAUGGGGGGUCCACCCUCCAAGGCUAAGUACUACUUGACGACCGAUAGUUAACCAGUAAGGCGACUGAAUGAUGAAAACUACCCCUGCUAGGGGUGUGAAAGAGUAGCUGAAACCAUGUGCUUACACAGCGGUCAGAGCCCUUCGGGGUGAUGGCGUGCCUUUUGCAUAAUGACCCGGCGAGUUACUCUCAUUGGCGAGGUUAAGG
rnacentral:rRNA from 1 species